rnacentral:rRNA from 1 species
UACGUAGGGUGCAAGCGUUAAUCGGAAUUAUUGGGCGUAAAGCGUGCGCAGGCGGUUUUGUAAGUCUGUCGUGAAAGCCCCGGGCUCAACCUGGGAAUUGCGAUGGAGACUGCAAGGCUUGAAUCUGGCAGAGGGGGGUAGAAUUCCACGUGUAGCAGUGAAAUGCGUAGAGAUGUGGAGGAACACCGAUGGCGAAGGCAGCCCCCUGGGUCAAGAUUGACGCUCAUGCACGAAAGCGUGGGGAGCAAACAGG